GCGGGGAUGGCAGAGUGGUCAAUUGCAUCAGACUGUAAAUCUGACGGUCUUUGUACCUACGGGGGUUCGAAUCCCUCUCCCCGCA
rnacentral:tRNA from 1 species